rnacentral:rRNA from 1 species
AGGGGGGACGGAGAAGGCUAUGUUGGCCGGGCGACGGUUGUCCCGGUUUAAGCGUGUAGGCUGGUUUUCCAGGCAAAUCCGGAAAACCAAGGCUGAGGCGUGAUGACGAGGCACUACGGUGCUGAAGUGACAAAUGCCCUGCUUCCAGGAAAAGCCUCUAAGCAUCAGGUAACAUCAAAUCGUACCCCAAACCGACACAGGUGGUCAGGUAGAGAAUACCAAGGCGCUUGAGAGAACUCGGGUGAAGGAACUAGGCAAAAUGGUGCCGUAACUUCGGGAGAAGGCACGCUGAUAUGUAGGUGAAGCGACUUGCUC